GUGUGGUGGAGGUGGAGAGGGAUACUUAGGUGGAGGUGGAGGUGACUUGUAAUAGUAAGCUGGGGGAGGAGGAGAAGGGUACUUGUAUGGUGGAGGUGGAGGAGAUGGGUACUUGUAAGGAGGAGGAGGAGAUUUGUACUUGUAAACAGGUGGUGGAGGAGAUGGGUACUUGUAUGGUGGAGGUGGAGGAGAUGGGUACUUGUAAGGAGGAGGAGGAGAUUUGUACUUGUAAACAGGUGGUGGAGGAGAUGGAUACUUGUAUGGAGGGGGUGGAGGAGAAGGGUAUUUGUAGGGAGGUGGUGGUGACUUGUACUUGUAGACUGGAGGUGGUGGUGAUUUGUACUUGUAGACUGGAGGUGGUGGUGACUUGUACUUGUACACUGGUGGUGGGGGUGAUGGAUAUUUGUAAGGCUUCUUAGGAGGUGGUGGUGGUGACUUGUACUUGUAAACCGGAGGUGGUGGUGACUUGUACUUAUAAACUGGUGGUGGUGGAGAAGGGUAUUUGUAAGGCUUCUUAGGAGGUGGUGGAGGAGAUGAGUACUUAUAGGGUGGAG
rnacentral:lncRNA from 1 species